UGGGGAAUCUUGGACAAUGGGGGCAACCCUGAUCCAGCCAUGCCGCGUGAGUGAUGAAGGCCUUAGGGUCGUAAAGCUCUUUCGCCUGUGAAGAUAAUGACGGUAGCAGGUAAAGAAACCCCGGCUAACUCCGUGCCAGCAGCCGCGGUAAUACGGAGGGGGUUAGCGUUGUUCGGAAUUACUGGGCGUAAAGCGCACGUAGGCGGACCAGAAAGUUGGGGGUGAAAUCCCGGGGGCUCAACCCCGGAACUGCCUCCAAAACUAUUGGUCUAGAGUUCGAGAGAGGUGAGUGGAAUUCCAAGUGUAGAGGUGAAAUUCGUAGAUAUUUGGAGGAACACCAGUGGCGAAGGCGGCUCACUGGCUCGAUACUGACGCUGAGGUGCGAAAGUGUGGGGAGCAAACAGGAGUUAGAUACCCUGGGUAGUCCACACCGUAAAACGAUGAAUGCCAGUCGUCGGGUAGCAU
rnacentral:rRNA from 1 species